rnacentral:tRNA from 1 species
GCCCGGGUGGCGGAAUUGGUAGACGCGCCAUCUUGAGGGGGUGGUGCCCGUCAGGGCGUGCUGGUUCGAUUCCAGUCCCGGGCA